rnacentral:rRNA from 1 species
GAUGAACGCUGGCGGCGUGCCUAAUACAUGCAAGUCGAGCGAACGGAUGAGAAGCUUGCUUCUCUGAUGUUAGCGGCGGACGGGUGAGUAACACGUGGAUAACCUACCUAUAAGACUGGGAUAACUUAGGGAAACCGGAGCUAAUACCGGAUAAUAUUUUGAACCGCAUGGUUCAAAAGUGAAAGACGGUCUUGCUGUCACUUAUAGAUGGAUCCGCGCUGCAUUAGCUAGUUGGUAAGGUAACGGCUUACCAAGGCAACGAUGCAUAGCCGACCUGAGAGGGUGAUCGGCCACACUGGAACUGAGACACGGUCCAGACUCCUACGGGAGGCAGCAGUAGGGAAUCUUCCGCAAUGGGCGAAAGCCUGACGGAGCAACGCCGCGUGAGUGAUGAAGGUCUUCGGAUCGUAAAACUCUGUUAUUAGGGAAGAACAUAUGUGUAAGUAACUGUGCACAUCUUGACGGUACCUAAUCAGAAAGCCACGGCUAACUACGUG